AGCAGCCGCGGUAAUUCCAGCUCCAAUAGCGUAUGUUAAAGUUGUUGCAGUUAAAAAGCUCGUAGUUGAAUUUCGGGAUCAAUAUAUUGGUCGUGCCUUCGGUACGUACUGGUAUCGUUGAUUUCUACCUUCUGACGAACCAUGAUGUCAUUUAUUUGGUGUCAUGGGAAAUCAGGAUUGUUACUUUGAAAAAAUUAGAGUGUUUAAAGCAGGCACACGCUUGAAUACAUUAGCAUGGAAUAAUGAAAUAGGACGUUUGACCCUAUUUUGUUGGUUUCUAGGAUCGACGUAAUGAUUAAUAGGGAUAGUUGGGGGCAUUAGUAUUCAAUUGUCAGAGGUGAAAUUCUUGGAUUUAUUGAAGACUAACUACUGCGAAAGCAUUUGCCAAGGAUGUUUUCAUUAAUCUAAGAACGAAAGUUAGGGGAUCGAAGACGAUCAGAUACCGUCGUAGUCUUAACCAUAAACUAUGCCGACUAGGGAUCGGAUGAUGUUAAUUUUUAAUGUACUCAUUCGGCGCCUU
rnacentral:rRNA from 1 species